rnacentral:rRNA from 1 species
AUUUCCCUCCUUCUUUAGGCCUAACACAUGCAAGUCGAACGGCAGCACAGUAAGAGCUUGCUCUUACGGGUGGCGAGUGGCGGACGGGUGAGGAAUACAUCGGAAUCUACUUUUUCGUGGGGGAUAACGUAGGGAAACUUACGCUAAUACCGCAUACGACCUACGGGUGAAAGCAGGGGAUCUUCGGACCUUGCGCGAUUGAAUGAGCCGAUGUCGGAUUAGCUAGUUGGCGGGGUAAAGGCCCACCAAGGCGACGAUCCGUAGCUGGUCUGAGAGGAUGAUCAGCCACACUGGAACUGAGACACGGUCCAGACUCCUACGGGAGGCAGCAGUGGGGAAUAUUGGACAAUGGGCGCAAGCCUGAUCCAGCCAUACCGCGUGGGUGAAGAAGGCCUUCGGGUUGUAAAGCCCUUUUGUUGGGAAAGAAAAGCAGCAGGUUAAUACCCCGCUGUUCUGACGGUACCCAAAGAAUAAGCACCGGCUAACUUCGUG